rnacentral:rRNA from 1 species
UACGUAGGGUGCGAGCGUUAAUCGGAAUUACUGGGCGUAAAGUGUGCGCAGGCGGCCGCGCAAGUCGAGUGUGAAAGCCCCGAGCUUAACUUGGGAAUUGCGCUCGAAACUACGUGGCUGGAGUGUGGCAGAGGAAGGUGGAAUUCCAGGUGUAGCGGUGAAAUGCGUAGAGAUCUGGAGGAACACCGAUGGCGAAGGCGCUCUGCUAGGCCGCAACUGACACUGAGGGACGAAAGCUAGGGGAGCGAAUGGG